ensembl:lncRNA
CCUAACCAAUGGAAUGACGUUAAACAACGACUUUGGUGCAGAGUUACCGACUGGAUAAUAUCAAUGCUAAAAUAAUGGCCGUAAUUCACACAUGUUACAGUAGAAGAUACUCUAGAACUGUACAAGGUUAAAAAGGUAACAUGUAGUUUGUCCCAAGGUGUCUGCCUCCUCACCCAGAGCAAGACCUCCACCUCCUCACCCAGAGCCAGACCUCCACCUCCUGUCAGAAGUCCUCCAGAACAGCUGAAAGGCGAGGCUGAGAGGCUGGGGACCGGAAGCUUGUGGUGCCAGGGUGAACCGGAGACUGAGGCUGGAGACCAGAGACCUGCGGCACCGGACCAGAGGACCAGGAAUCCAUGGCUGAAGGAGCUGAUGGAGGAGCCGAGCUGAUGGAGGAGUCGUGCUGAAGGCCCUGCCUUGUGGAGGAGCUGGUGGAGGCCCUGCCUGGUGAAGGACGUCUGUCGUGGGACCAGGACUCUGUCUGAGCUGAGACGCUGGAGGACGACUAGGAAUCGACCAACAAGGAUUCCUCAACGUGUUUCUGGAGCGGAGGCGAGCUGGUAGGGGAGCCAUGAAUCUGGAGGAUGACCAUCACUCUACCAACAAGGAUUACCAGGACUCUGGCUGAGGAGAGCUGAUGGAGGAGCCAAGACUCUGGAGGACGACAUCACUCCGCCAACCAGGAUCCUCACACACCUGAGCUGAACCUCACCUGAUCCUGUUUGGUCGGGGGUAGACACACCUGAGCUAAACCCGCCCUGAUCCUGACAUCCUUCUGGUCCCGUCUCCUCAGUUCAUCUGAGCCUCGUCCUCCAGAAGACCUGCUGAGCUCAGCUGUCUGAGGCUGAUGGAUCAAUGACCUCCAGUGGGAGUGAUCUUCUUGACCCCACAUGUAACCGUGUGCUUCCACACACGCCUUUUCCUCACGUCUGUCACUAACCUCACUACUUCACUACUCUCUACUACUUCCUCUUUUCUUCCUUCUCUGUGGUUCAAACCUUUACACUGAAGGCGGGUCUUCCUGCCCUCAGAGGGUUUAGUGUUAGGGUUGAGAGUCAGGGUUUAGAGUCAGGG